AUUAGAUUUACCGUGGACGAUCCAAUCUUCCAAGUCGGUACAUGACCCUUAAAUUGCUUUUUCGCUUUAAUUUGGGCCAAUUUUGAAACUUGCAGAUGCUUUCACGGAUAAGAAGCGCAGAGUGAAAUCUAAAUCUCAGGGUCAUUUUCCACGAGGUAAGGAAAUCUCCAGACAUUUGCAAGAUCGACGGCAAAUCCGAUGACAGAGAGAAGAAAAUCGACUUUGCCGGACCACGUUUCCCUGCCGUCGACGCUGCCGUUCAACUUUGGCGCAUUCUUCACCACCCUCGACGACAUGUCUCAGUUUCC